rnacentral:rRNA from 1 species
GCAUGCAUAUAACAUAGCAUUAAUGCAUCAGAUCCCAUUAGAACUCCAUAGCUAAGAGUGCUCAGGAUAUAGUAGUACUGGGAUGGGUGAUCGCCCGAGAAGUCAUAGUGUUUUACAUUCC